CUUGGUUGAUCCUGCCAGUAGCCAUAUGCUUGUCUCAAAGAUUAAGCCAUGCAUGUCUAAGUAUGAACUAAUUCAGACUGUGAAAUUGCAGAUGGAUCAUUAAAUCAGUUAUAAUGUUUUUUAUGGUACCAUACUACUUGGAUAACCGUAAUAAUUCUUGAGCAAAAACGUGCACCAAGACCCGACUCUUUGGAAGGGAUGCAUUUUUUAGAUAAAAGGUUGGUGUGAGCUUGCUCACUUCUCCAGUGAAUCGUGAUAACUCAAUGGAUCACACAACCCUUGUGCUGGCAAUGCUUCAUUCAAAUUUUUACCCUAUCAACUUUAGAUGGUAGGAUAGAGGCCUACCAUGGUGGUGACGAGUGACAGAGAAUUAGGUUUUGAUUCUAGAGAGGGAGCCUAAGAAAGGACUAGCACAUCCAAGGAAGGCAGCAAGAGUGCAAAUUACCCAAUCCUGACAUGGGGAGGUAGUGACAAUAAAUAACAAUACUUGGAUCAUCAAAUCCGGUAAUUGGAAUGAGUAGAAUCUAAAUCCCUUAACGAGGAUGCAUUGGAGGGCAAGUCUAGUGCCAGCAGCCACGGUAAUUCCAGCUCCAAUAGCAUAUAUUUAAGCUGUUGCAGUUAAAAAGAUCGUAGUUGGAGCUUGGGUUGUAAAGGUCGGUCCACCUACUCAGUGUGUACCUGCCGUUACAUCCCUCUUGUCGGCGGUGUGCUCCUAGCCUUAAUUAGCUAGAUUGUAGCUCCGAAAUUGUUACUUUGAAAAAAUUAGAGUGCUUAUAACAAGCUUAUGCCCUAAAUACAUUAGCAUGGAAUAACAUGAUAGGAGUCUAGUCCUAUUGUGUUGGCCUUCAGGACUGAAGUAAUGAUUAAUAGGGACUAUCAGGGGCAUUUGUAUUUCAUUGCCAGAGGUGAAAUUCUUGGAUUUAUGAAAGACGGACCACUGCGAAAGCAUUUGCCAAGGAUUUUCUCAUUAAUCAAGAAUGAAAGUUGGGAGCUCAAAGACAAUCAGAUACUAUCCUAGUCUUAACCAUAAACGAUGUUGACCAGGGAUCGACAGAUGUUUCUCUAAGGACUCCGCCAGCACCUUCUGAGAAAUCAAAGUAUUUGGGUUCUGGGGGGAGUAUGGUUGCAAGGCUGAAACUUAAAGGAAUUGAUGGAAGGGCACAACCAGGAGUGGAGCCUGCGGCUUAAUUUGACACAACAAGGGGAAACUUACCAGAUCUAGACAUAGUAAGGAUUGAUAGAUUGAGAGCUCUUUCUUUAUUCUAUGGGUGGUGGUGCAUGGCCAUUCUUAGUUGGUGGAGCAAUUUUUCUGGUUAAUUCUGAUAAUGAACAAGACCUCAGCCUCCUAAAUAGCUACGCGGACGUUCCCCUUCAAGGCUAGCUUCUUAGAGGGGCUAUGGCUAUUUAGGGCAUGGAAGUUUGAAGCAAUAAUAGGUCUGUGAUGUCCUUAGAUCUUUUGGGUAGCAUGCACGGUACACUGAUGUAGCCAACGAGUUUUUCUUCAUCGUUCAAGAGGAUCAGGAAAUAUUCUCAAAUUGCAUCAUGAUGGGGAUAUACCAUUGCAAUUAUUGGUCUUCAACGAGGAAUUCAUAGUAAGCACGUGUCAUCAACUUGUCUUGACUACAUUCCUGCCCUUUAUACACACCAUUGUCGCUCCUACCAAUUGAAUGACCUGGUGAAGUGUUCGGAUUGCGUCAACAAUGGUGGUUCGUUGUUGUUGACAUCAUGAGAAGUUCAUUAAACCUUAUCAUUUAGAGGAAGGAGAAGUCAUAACAAGGUUACUAUAGGUGAACCUAUGGCAG
rnacentral:rRNA from 1 species